CAGGGGCCAGAGGGUCUGCCGGACAACAGAGGGCCCCAAGCGUCCCCUGGAUUGGAGGGUGAGCAGUUGGCCUAGCGGGACCUCUGGGACCAAAAGGUCGACCAGGGGGAGACAAGGCCAGAAAGGUCAAAAGGUUCUGAGGGGAGACAAGUCCAGAAAGGUCAAAAGGGGUAUGAUGGUCGAAAUGGGUAUCCAGGAAAGACGGGACACAUCGGGAGGAGGGUCAGAAUAAAGCCAUCUCUUUUUCACAUAUUACAAUUUCUCAUUUCAAUUUAUAUGGAUCUUGAUUCUUGAUUAUAAAAGCUGUUUUUCUUACCAUGUAAGGGGAAAAGAGGGAAAUCUGGAAACAGAGGCUUAAGAGGAGGGAGAGGAGAAAAGGUCAUCACUAUUGACUGUGAGAAAUUCGGGCCUGAUUAUGCACUAGCCAUAACAUACAGAAUAAUGUUUUUUUAACCUUUAAAACACUGCUAAUGUUUUGCAGCGGUGAGAUUUUGUGUAAGGUCAACAGGGUAUAACAUUUUUAUCAAGAUUUAACAUUUUCUUUGGCCUACAGGGAAAAGGGGAGAUUUUGGUUCAACGGGGCCUCCAGGAAGACAAGGGCCUUACAUAGGUUAUUUUUAAUAACCAUAUAAUUUGAUCUGUUUUGGAAAUGCUGUGCGCUCUUUUCAAUGCCAGGUGGUUAGCUGUACAACUCAAUCACUGUGUCCCCAAAACUCAGGAAAUAACUACCCUUGUUUCUAUAUAUUUGUCUUUCUCUGUUCCUCUAAGGGGACACCUGGCAUACAAGGAGAGAAGGGUGAAAUGGGUGAACCAGGAGUAGAGGGAGAGAAGGGGGAGAUGGGUCAGACAGGCCCUCCUGGAGCUCAGGGGCUGAAGGGGACACAAGGCCCUUUGGGAGAGCCAGGGAGCGAUGGCCUAAAAGGAGAACAGGGAGACAUUGGUCCUGAUGGGGGGUGGGGGACCCCAGAUCUAACUGGAAUUCCUGGUUUGUUUGGAGAAACUGUAUAUUACUCUAAAUACAAAUACCUGCAUAUGUUCCGUUUUUUUAUGCAUACCUUUAUGUGUUCUGUACAUGUAUCAGGUCCUGUUGGAGUGAGAGGCCUGCCUGGUCUGGACCUCCUGGAACCUCUCUGAUCCGUACUCUGGCA